rnacentral:rRNA from 1 species
AUUCCAGCUCCAAUAGCGAAUACUAAUUCUGCUGCAGUUAAAAAGCUCGUAGUUGAACUUCUGGUAGGACAGAUCCGGCCUUUGGAUGAAUGUCCAUUGUAUGCUGUGUGUCUUGUCUGGCCAUCCUUUAUGUCUUUUAGGCGUAAUCUUUCACUGUAAAAAAAUUAGGGUGUUUCAAGCAAAAGUUAUUUGGAAUAUAUUAGUAUGGGAUGAUAAGAUAGGCUCUUGAGUGCUACUUUGUUGGUUUAUACACUUAGAGAAUGAUUAACAGGGACAGUUUGAGGAUAUUCGUAUGAACAUGUCAGAGGUGAAAUCCUUGGAUUUUGAUCAGACGAACUACUGCGAAAGCAUUUAUCAAGGAUGUUUUCAUCA